CACAUUUAAUGCUGAUAAAGCUUUUGAAAGUACAUUAAAUUGAUUGGCUGGCAUCCUGAUAUUUUCUAAUGCUUUCAUACAAUUUCAAUCUAUUAUUAAGAGAAAAUUUGCAUCCCUCAUGGAAACAUGGACCAAAGAAGCAGUGGAGAAAAUAGCAGCAAUGUUAAGAAUGUCCCUGGCAGAAGAUGGUCUUCUCGAGAAGAAGACUCUACCCAGGAGAGCUAAAUCAAAAACAGCUGGUGGUCCCACAAAGCAAUUGCCAUUCAGAAGAACGUCUGGCCGUAUGAGAAAAAAGAGAGCUGACUCAGAUUUGGCAGAAAGACACAAAGAUGUUGACCAAGGUGAUCAUGUGAUACCAGAGGAUGGCACCGCUGCCCCACAGCCUCUACCUGACAUGACACCGCCCCAGGUGGUGUCACCACAUCGGCAUGCUGCAUCACCGCACAGCCAGGCGAUGUCACCGCCAACGGGGGUCCCGGGACUCAGCGCCAACGAGGAAGGGGACGAGGAGGAGGAGGAGGAGGAGGAGGCAACGGCAGCAGCGCUGGGGGACGUCGACGACGACCCGCUCCCCGCUGACCCCGCGACCCCCUCUCCCACCCCGGACCCCACCAGGGGCAAGCAGUCCAAGAGGAGCCGUCCGGAUCCCAUCCAGUGCCCCCUGUGCCGAAAGACGUUCGCCGUCAAGUGCUGGUUCGAGCGGCACUUUGUCACCCACUCCAAACCCCACGUCUGCUCGCUGUGCGGCAAGCGCUUCUCCCGGGCCCAGGGGCUGGAGACGCACGCCUUGAGGCACACGGGCGCCGCCAAGAAGCUGUUCAAGUGCGACAGUGCGACACCGAGUUCGCCUACAAGAGCACCUACAACCGGCACAUGCGGCGGCACGCCGUCCUGGCGGCGCA
ensembl:lncRNA